rnacentral:rRNA from 1 species
UACGUAGGGUGCGAGCGUUAAUCGGAAUUACUGGGCGUAAAGCGUGCGCAGGCGGUUCGUUGUGUCGGCGGUGAAAUCCCCGGGCUCAACCUGGGAAUGGCCGUUGAAACUGGCGAACUGGAGUGUGGCAGAGGGGGGUGGAAUUCCGCGUGUAGCAGUGAAAUGCGUAGAGAUCCGGAGGAACACCAAAGGCGAAGGCAGUGUCCUGGGGAGUACCUGACGCUCAGGUGCGAAAGCCAGGGGAGCGAACGGG